UACGUAGGGGGCAAGCGUUGUCCGGAAUUACUGGGCGUAAAGCGCACGUAGGCGGCUUUGUAAGUUAGAGGUGAAAGCCCGGAGCUCAACUCCGGAAUAGCCUUUAAGACUGCAUCGCUAGAACGUUGGAGAGGUAAGUGGAAUUCCGAGUGUAGAGGUGAAAUUCGUAGAUAUUCGGAAGAACACCAGUGGCGAAGGCGACUUACUGGACAACUGUUGACGCUGAGGUGCGAAAGCGUGGGGAGCAAACAGG
rnacentral:rRNA from 1 species